UACGUAGGGGCUAGCGUUGUCCGGAAUCAUUGGGCGUAAAGCGCGCGUAGGCGGCCAGAUAAGUCCGGUGUGAAAGUCACAGGCUCAACCUGUGAAUGCCGCUGGAAACUGUCUGGCUAGAGUCCGGAAGGGGCGAGUGGAAUUCCUGGUGUAGCGGUGAAAUGCGUAGAUAUCAAGAGGAACACCUGAGGUGAAGACGGGUUGCUGGGCUGACACUGACGCUGAGGCGCGAAGCCAGGGAGCAAACAGG
rnacentral:rRNA from 1 species